UUAACUAUUUCGACUCCUUCAGCAACUACAUGCUUCAACUACAUGCUUCGAUAGACUAUAUUUGACUUUAUAUCAAAUACAACAAAUACAGACUCUGUUCGACACAAACUAAUUUCGACACCUGUCGAAUACAAACACAUCAUUUCAACUUCAACACAAAGAGUUACAUAUUUAACAAGUCUUAUCUUCUUCCUCUUUCUUUUCUUUUUUCUUUUUUUUAUUUAAAU
rnacentral:lncRNA from 1 species